GAUGAACGCUGGCGGCGUGCCUAAUACAUGCAAGUCGAGCGAACGGACGAGAAGCUUGCUUCUCUGAUGUUAGCGGCGGACGGGUGAGUAACACGUGGAUAACCUACCUAUAAGACUGGGAUAACUUCGGGAAACCGGAGCUAAUACCGGAUAAUAUUUUGAACCGCAUGGUUCAAAAGUGAAAGACGGUCUUGCUGUCACUUAUAGAUGGAUCCGCGCUGCAUUAGCUAGUUGGUAAGGUAACGGCUUACCAAGGCAACGAUGCAUAGCCGACCUGAGAGGGUGAUCGGCCACACUGGAACUGAGACACGGUCCAGACUCCUACGGGAGGCAGCAGUAGGGAAUCUUCCGCAAUGGGCGAAAGCCUGACGGAGCAACGCCGCGUGAGUGAUGAAGGUCUUCGGAUCGUAAAACUCUGUUAUUAGGGAAGAACAUAUGUGUAAGUAACUGUGCACAUCUUGACGGUACCUAAUCAGAAAGCCACGGCUAACUACGUGCCAGCAGCCGCGGUAAUACGUAGGUGGCAAGCGUUAUCCGGAAUUAUUGGGCGUAAAGCGCGCGUAGGCGGUUUUUUAAGUCUGAUGUGAAAGCCCACGGCUCAACCGUGGAGGGUCAUUGGAAACUGGAAAACUUGAGUGCAGAAGAGGAAAGUGGAAUUCCAUGUGUAGCGGUGAAAUGCGCAGAGAUAUGGAGGAACACCAGUGGCGAAGGCGACUUUCUGGUCUGUAACUGACGCUGAUGUGCGAAAGCGUGGGGAUCAAACAGGAUUAGAUACCCUGGUAGUCCACGCCGUAAACGAUGAGUGCUAAGUGUUAGGGGGUUUCCGCCCCUUAGUGCUGCAGCUAACGCAUUAAGCACUCCGCCUGGGGAGUACGACCGCAAGGUUGAAACUCAAAGGAAUUGACGGGGACCCGCACAAGCGGUGGAGCAUGUGGUUUAAUUCGAAGCAACGCGAAGAACCUUACCAAAUCUUGACAUCCUUUGACAACUCUAGAGAUAGAGCUUUCCCCUUCGGGGGACAAAGUGACAGGUGGUGCAUGGUUGUCGUCAGCUCGUGUCGUGAGAUGUUGGGUUAAGUCCCGCAACGAGCGCAACCCUUAAGCUUAGUUGCCAUCAUUAAGUUGGGCACUCUAAGUUGACUGCCGGUGACAAACCGGAGGAAGGUGGGGAUGACGUCAAAUCAUCAUGCCCCUUAUGAUUUGGGCUACACACGUGCUACAAUGGACAAUACAAAGGGCAGCGAAACCGCGAGGUCAAGCAAAUCCCAUAAAGUUGUUCUCAGUUCGGAUUGUAGUCUGCAACUCGACUACAUGAAGCUGGAAUCGCUAGUAAUCGUAGAUCAGCAUGCUACGGUGAAUACAUUCCCGGGUCU
rnacentral:rRNA from 1 species